GGCCCUUCCCCGGAGAGCCCGCCCGCCCCAGCUGUGUGUGGGGGGCGGGGGGGGCCCCCACACCUCGGGAGGGCGGCCGGGCCGGACGGAAGCUUGCAGGGCCUGCCCAGUGUAAGCAAAUGCUUCCUCGGGUGUGGUCAAGUCAAGGUCUGACCUCAGGGCUCGGCGCAGGGGAGGGCAGAGGCGGCGGGAGCGCUGCGGUGGGUGGCGGCUGCCCCUCCCAGCGCUCCUCUUCCCGGCGCACCUGCGGUCGGUGGCGGCCGGUGGCGGCCGGUGGCGGUCUAACGGCCCAGCCAGCCUGGCCCAGACACGUGGCCCCGGGCGAUGCUAUCUCUCACUCAGUAUUUUUAACUCCUCUUUGCAGAGGAUGUGGCUUCUGCGGGAGAGCUUCAAAGGUGCCCCGUUUGCCCCUCUCGGCGACCAUGACGUCAUGGAAGCGGGGAGGGGAGGCCCUCGGCCCCCAAACACCUGGUGGGAAGUGGGAGAGUUUUUCCACUUCCUGUCCUACUUCUGGCUACUGACUCAGUGUCUGACCUGUUUAUUAAUUUCAAAGUAUAGCUCUCCGGUGUGGGACUCAGAGGAAACCCAAGGCAUGUGUGUGUCUGGGUGUCUGGGGGCUGGAAACCAGAUGGCCUUACACGAGGUCCUGCCGGGCGGGUGACAGCACUGGGCUCCUGGCUUGCCCCCUGCACGUCAGGAGUUCUCUGUCCCACACAGCGCUCCAGGAAAUAGGCCAGAGAAGGGCUUUUAAGAUAGGACUCGUGGGCAGAGUGAGGUAGAACCGUAAUGCGACCUCUGGCCCCUGACCUUGGACUGGUUGUGCAGUGACCUCAGUUCUGACUCCCUGGCACCCAGAGUUCCAUCCUCCAGACUCUAUUGGAUGAUUACCCCCCUGGGGGUUUCACUGGCCAAUGGGCCAUCGCUCAGGUUUUGCUUUUCCUGGUAGUUCUUGACAGGUUAUUCUGAGCUCUUGGCAAAACUGAAAUAGUGGCUCACCCAGCUGACUCCUCUAUUAAUCUCCGUCUUCCUUUCUCUUACGCUCCUUCCGCAGCCCCCACCGACUUGGCUGCCUUCCCAGUGCCUAAUGGCACUAAGUAUUUAUUUGUUCAUUUGCUACUUAAGUGUAUAUUAAGCAUCUGUUGUGUGCCAGCCACUGUGCUAGGUGUUGCAGACACACUGAAUGAGCAAGAUACAUUUCUCAUCCUGAGGAGUGGGUAGUUGAGUGGACUUUCUUGCCAAGAUAUCACCUGAUAAGUAAGGUGAUAUUGUUAAAACUUUACAUGUGACCCAGGGAGUUGGAUUUUAAUGGGUAAACCAAGAAGAUAAAUAAUCCUUAAAAACUCAGAUGGCUGCCUCUCCAACGGUGGGUCAUGGCAGAGGGGGUCACUUGGUGGGAGCUGAAGACCCCACCACACUUUGAGAUGUCCCUGCAGCACAUACUUACUUAGCCCCCUUCUCUUGAGGGGACAGUGAUUCCAAUUACACUGAGGGGGCUGGUCUCUGGGUAAGGUGUCAGAGAAUCCUCUAGAAUCUCAGAACAGUGGUCAUGAGAAGUCAUUUGGUUCAUUCUUUUGCCUCCAGGGCUGGCCUGUGCUUAAGCAAUUUGGGGCAGGAGGGUGUCUGUCCAGACAACUCCAUUCUACAACUGGCUUUGGCGACACAUUCACUAGUGGGGUAGUGGCCUUCUCUCCUUGAGGUUGCCUUCUGUUCCUGGGGCCUGGGGCUCUCCAGGGCUGGGCCUUUGUAUGGAUGUGAUAACGGGUGUCUGGGUUUCCUCAGGAGCCUCUUCCUUCCAGGCUGAGUGGUGCCUGGUCCCUUACUGCACUGAGGGGCUCUGCUGCAGUGACCCUAAGCCUGGUGCUGGAGGCCUUCUAGGGGGCUCAGGAACCCUUUGUCUGAGCCUUCUCGUAAGGGUAUUUUAAAAAAUAUAUGUAUGUAUUCAUGAGAGACACACAGAAAGAGGUAGAGACAUAGGCAGUGGGAGAAGCAGGCUUCCUGUGGGGAGCCCGAUGUGGGGCUUGAUCCCAGGACUCUGGGAUCACUACCUGAGCCAAAGGCAGAUGCUUAACCACUGAACCACCCAGGUACCCUUUGUAAGGGUAUUUUAAUUCCCUCUGUCACCCUAGUGGGGCCCAAGGCCAGACAUGAGAACAGGGUGGAUCAAGAUGAGUGGGGUCUCCAUGCCACCCCCUCAGCACUUGCUCCACAGCUGCCCUCUGACUCGGCUCUCAUUGGCUUUAGGCUUCCCUUAGACUUGAGGGAAGGUUCUUGCUGGGAUGGAGGAACCCUGAUUUGAGAUGGACAUGUCUCAGGGGGUGUGCUAACCCUGCUUUCCAGAUGAACUCUACAUGCCUGAGGCCUUGUCACCCUUGGCUUGGGCUGGGCCUGGAAGGGGGUACCUUUGCUCCCUCCGUGGGUCUGGGUGGAUCCCCAGCCACUGCCCAUCACCUCGUAGGUCCUUGGGUGGCUUUAGAAGUCCAUGACUUCAGGGCCGUGGCAACUGAGGGCCCUGGGCUGGCAUGACUCCAUAGGCUCCCCUGGCCUCCUCCCAGGUUCUUUGAGGGAGUCUGUUUUUAUUUUAGUCUCUUCUCUGCCUCUGAGGGCCUUCCCUCCUGUCCCCUGCCCUAAACCCCGUGUCUCCUUCAGCCUCAGCAUCUUUGCUGCCACCAACUCUCAGGAGCUGAGCUGCCCCAGCCACCCAUACACAUCCAUUGCCUGGAUCUUUUGUAUACAGACCAAAGUGAAUUACUGCUUUAGGAGGAAAAGAAGAUAAACUAAUUUGCCUUAGGUUUUUAAUGGUUGAUAGAGGCUUGCUCAAUUAACCCUCCCCCAGGGCAUUUUCAUUUACUAGGGGGAGGAGAAUGCUUUAAUUAAAAGAAAUUCCCCAUGGUGGGAUCUCUGGCAUUGUGCCAGGUCGAUGGGGAGACAGAUUAAAGUUCUCCGCAGGUGGCAGUACCACCUUUGGGAAGGUGGUACCUUGUCCUCUUGUGUGGGAGAGUGACCCACUGUGAUGGGAUGUCCUCUGUGGCUGUUUCCUUUAGUGAUCUUUAAGGGGACUUGUAUGUAGGCCACAGAUGAGGGGACUCAGGGAGAACUGAGGAUUCUGUGACUGCCCUGGAUAGGACUGACAGGAGACGGACUGGUUCUUAGUUCCACAGAGGCCACACAUUUAGAGGUGCGUGGAGCUGGAGGCAGACUCCCAGUCUUAGAUGACAUUUUACAGGCAGUGACCCUGGAGCUCAUGCAAGUGGGGGACACGCCCAAGUCCCCUAUUGAGCUGGUGGCUCUAUCCCUGUGAAAAGAGGCAGGCCUGAAUUGUAUAGCUGGAAGGAUUUGCAUAUUUCUGGUUGAUUUGGUCAGAGACAUGCGCAUGAACCAUACAGGUGUUUGGGGAUAGGACCUCCUCCUACCCCUGGGAGCUGGGAAGCCUGGGCUUGAUAGCAGUAAUUGUGAAGAGGAUGGCUGAAUCUCUGAGGGGUGUUCCCAUCAAUGUCCAUGACCUCAGGAAAGGCACUCAGGCUUGGAAGAAUACCAGGGGGCCCAGGGAACCUUACCUCCUGUUCUGUAGGUGAGAGCUUAAGACAUCCACUGUCCUUGGCAGAGUCUCUGAGCUUGAGGGGAGAGGAUUCAUUUCUUACAUCCAGGCUGGGGGUGGUGGUGGGGGGAGUAGAAAGUCUAGCUAAUCUUCAUUCCCUUCCCCCGCUCUUAGCCUGGGCACCCCAAAGUUGGGGCAUUGAGGGUGGGUGGUCCCCAGCCAUGGAUUUGUGGGGGCAAUGCACAAUUUCAAUGGGAAAGGAAAGGCAAAGGAAAUGUUCCCGGAGGGCAGGAGACAGUGGGUGGUAUUUUGGGGAUACUUGCUGUGUGGUCCCUGGCUGCCAAAUUUCAACUGCCAGUCAUUUUCAGUCAUGGAUGUGGGCCUCCUGCUACUGGUGGCCCAGUGGUGUGGCUGGAAAAUGGAGGAGCGAGGACCUGAGCUUUUAAGUGGGUUUGCCUGGCCCCCAACUCAGCCUUCUAAGUGGAAUUUUUUACCCGUUGUUCCAAGAAAAGGUUGACUUAAGCAGCUUGUUGAAUUAGGCUCUCUGAAUGACAUCAGGACAAAUGCCUUGGUUUCUUUCUGGCCAGCCAGUGAUCAAUAGCAAGUCGAAAACAACCCUGACCAAACCCAGUGAAACAGAAGCACGGUCUCUGCUCUUCCAAACUGCCUUUAAUGAAGGGUAGCAGAAUAUACAACGUGGCUCAGAUAACAGCAUAGCAGGGCCUAGAUAAUCAUUUUCCCCACAUCUUGGGGGAAAAGGGGAUACAUAUUUCUUUAUGAACACUAUUAAAAAAAAAA
rnacentral:lncRNA from 1 species